rnacentral:tRNA from 1 species
GCGCCCAUAGCUCAGCUGGAUAGAGCACCGGUUUCCUAAACCGGGGGUCACAGGUUCAAAUCCUGUUGGGCGUGCCA